GACGAACCGUGCGAACGUUAUUCGGAAUCACUGGGCUUAAAGCGCGUGUAGGCGGCCUUGUAAGUCCGUUCUGAAAGCCCGGGGCUCAACCCCGGGAGGCGGAUGGAUACUGCAAGGCUCGAGUCCGGAAGAGGCGAGUGGAAUUCCCGGUGUAGCGGUGAAAUGCGUAGAUAUCAAGAGGAACACCUGCGGCGAAGGCGGGUUGCUGGGCCGACACUGACGCUGAGGCGCGAAAGCCAGGGGAGCGAACGGG
rnacentral:rRNA from 1 species